UUGAGAGUGUUCUUCACCAGAAUUGUAGAUUUGGGGAUUGAUAGGUGAGUUUUAACAUUGGAAUUGAAAGUUUAAGCUUAAGUGCUGAAAUUUGAGGUUGUAAUGUUAGUUUUGUGUUUUUGAUGUUUAGAUCUUUGAAGUGGUUUGGUUGCUGGUUCUGGGGGAUUUCAGUUGGUCUCGUCAGGGUUUCCAGUGACUUCGUGACCUCGGGCUGCGGUGGAUUAGCGCUAGAGGUGGGUUUAAUGUGAUGCUUACCGAGUUACACGGAUUUCCUGUUAAAUCUAGUAGUUGUCGACAUGUAUUCGUCGUUUUUGUACAGCAUGUUUAAUUG
rnacentral:lncRNA from 1 species